rnacentral:rRNA from 1 species
UACGGGGGGGGCAAGCGUUGUUCGGAAUUACUGGGCGUAAAGCGCGCGUAGGUGGCCUCGUAAGUCCGCUGUGAAAGUCCAAGGCUCAACCUUGGAAAGCCGGUGGAUACUGUGAGGCUAGAGUACGGAAGAGGCGAGUGGAAUUCCUGGUGUAGCGGUGGAAUGCGCAGAUAUCAGGAGGAACACCAAUAGCGAAAGCAGCUCGCUGGGACGUUACUGACACUGAGGCGCGAAAGCGUGGGGAGCGAACAGG